ensembl:rRNA 5S_rRNA 5S ribosomal RNA
GUCUACAACCAUACUACCCUGAACGCACCUGAUCUCGGAAGCUAAACAGGGUUGGGCCUGGUUAGGACUUGGAUGGGAGAACUCCAGGCUGUACUAUUUA